UCCAGCGGGUUUUGGCUUUUCUAACCCCACUCCUCUAUGUUCUGACAGUGUCUCUGUAUUUUUCUAGGAUCACCUUCACUUGAUUUCCUGCACACUAGGAUGGACCAUGGCUAUUGUUGCAAACAAUAGCCUCACCACACUGCAUAAUCUUUUUUUUAAAGUGCACUAGAAACAAACAUAAGAGAUGUUAUAAAGCAUUUGAAACAAAACAUUAAGUGGGGAGGCACCUUUUUUUUUUUUUUUUUUUUUUUUUUUAUCCUGGAGAGGGCAGAGGAGAAGAUGAAUUUGAAAGAGAAGGACCAAGCCAAAUCAAAAGCCCAGAGUAUCAUGCUACAUUUUUUGCAUUCUAUGUGCCUCUAGGAUGCUAGUUAACAAACAGUAUCAUCUCUCCUUCAGGAACUACUUAGUAAUCACAUAUAGCAGCACAUAAAGAAGCUACCCAUGCUUCACUUGGCUUUUCUGAUUCUGUAAGUACUGGGCACUUUAUGCCAGCCACCUAAGUUCUCAGAAGGAUCGUUCUAAAAAAAGUAACAAGUAAUAUAUUGAAUAGUAAAUACAGCAAUUUCCAUGGUAGUUUUGCUGUACAUGUCUGUUUUCUAUGUUCCCUUUGAGGUUUUGCCACUCUGUUUCACCUGUUUUUACACUGGAAACUGUACUGAGGUUACUCCCUGAGGGCCCAUGACAUGCUCCAGAACAGCCAUCUGUACUAUGACAUGACAAGGUUCUCCUUCCUCACACUGACAGCUGAGUUCAGCCAAAACGCAGGGCAGUGCUUAACUCCACUGUGCUACAUCCUGCUUACUCUCCUAAAGCCAGAACAAACUACCUAUGGCUGUGAGGCUCUGCCAAACUUCUAUCAGGAACACAGGAACCUAAAAGACGCAUUGGGAAAUUCCAUGUGCAGAAUAAUUGAAAAAUCUACCAGGCUACAGAGUGUUCCGUUCUUUUUUUUAACUGUAGAUUUCACUAGCAGCACCAGAGAUUGUAAAGACUAAAAAUUGUUUCAUGUGGGGUUGCUGAAGAGCUCAAUUCAAGACUGAGAAAGACAGCCCUGAAACCAGCAGUAACCACGUGCACUAAAGAAUAACAGAGCUAUGCUAACUUUCCUUUCAAUCUGAAACAUGCUCAGCUUUGAUCUUUAUCAACACAUUGCAAAUGCUCUGUUAUUUCAGGUGUUUCUUUGAAGGGACAGGUGCACUUAAGCAGGACUAAAUACAGUGGUAUAAGGGACAGAAAGCAUGUAUAACUAUUAUUCAUCAAAGCCUUGGUGAGACUUCAGUAAGAUGACGACAUUUGGUGUACACUGAUUCCAUAUAAAAACAUGUAUCUAGACCUCUUGUUCAGCACCAAAAGAUGUCUCUGUUCUCCCUCCAUAAAACCUUCCAAGUGAUAGAAAGAAAUUUUACAAAGUCACAUGGACUUCCUUUAAAUCUAGAGAAUUCUGGCCUACCCCUACUCUCCCAUUCAUGUUUUUGUAGCAGUACAAAGACGUCGAAUUUGUCCUCUCUAUCAUGCAAUUUCUUUCUUUAAGAAACUAAGGAAAUCAUACACAGUAUGUCACAAAAAGAUUCCAGAGACCUGGCAAAACUGGUUAUAAAUAAGAUGUUAGUUAGAAUUUGAAAAGCAUCAUAUAUUAUUAAAAAAAUGUAAGCAAAACAACAACAAAAGAACAAGUGUGGAUUACGUACUAUCUGUGGAUACAACUGUGAAAGGUAAUACGAUAGCUACUGAAAAGCCAGCUAAACCAGGGAGUUCAUUUUUAAGUUACCUGGCAACUUUUUCUUUCAUUUGAGCAACCAAGUUGGUACCUGUAUGUCUAAAUUACAUAUAUGGACACUUGAAUGUCCAUUUGAGUAAAAAUAUACUGAGACCGUGAAGUACAAAACCAAAAACUUGUGACCAAGGACCAUUACAGAGCCCUGUAAAACUGGAUUUCCCCAAAUUUCCUCCAUUUGUUAAUGUGGUAUCAUAUUUUGACAAUCUUAGUGAAGUCAGUAGCGAGAUUACCUACUUCUUUCUCCUUUAGAUCUCUAGAAGGUCAUACCCUAAAGUCUGUAGCAAGAGAAAUACUCUUUUACAACCUGCCCCAAGGUGAGUUCAUGACCACAAACUAUUUUCUCUGGUAACCAGUUACCACCUACGCCACAGUUACCACACUGCCCAUUAUUCCUACAGACAACUGGGAAUGCCAGCUAUAUUGGCUUUGUCACUGCUGAUGAUUGCCCCUUGCCAAGUAAUUCUCAGCAGUGGGAACUCAUAUGGCAGCAACAGACCGAACUUGCUGUUCUUCAUCUCAUUUGCCACCUCAUCUGGCUCUAUACCAAGUCAGAGAACCUUUGCCUAGUUUUUACACUAGUAAAUUAAAUGGUCAGGGACUGUUCUCAGGACCCGAUGCCAACUGGCACUUCAUAAUUCAGUCUCCUUUCAGCUAUGAUGACAAUACAGCUGAACUUCCCUACAGCUUCCUUUCAAACAAACAGGACCAUAUCCAAAUUGUCAAUCAGGAAUAAGCUCUGACCCAGCCUAGACCCCAAAUUAUGCUCAAGCACUGAAGCAGUGGUAGCUGAUCCAGGUCAAAACCAUCUGAGGGAUGUACAAGGAAUCACUUGUCAGUGUGCAGACCCUUCUUUAGCCUGAUUUACUUUAUAAAUAUAGUUUUUGACUGAUGGAAGCAAUUCUGAGUAUUGUAAAAACUUUGAGAAGCUUGAUCCAAGCAAAAAAAAGCCUCAGGUGCUCGAGAUCAUGAUGGUGGGAAUUCUGUCCUUUCUCUAUAACAUAGCUUCUAUGUUUGGAAGCUCAGCUCUUAUUUUAUGUUUCCAUUCUAGUUAGGGGAUUUUUUUGAAGACGGUCAUUAUUUUUUUUCCUUUAAAAUACACCUUAUUGCAAAGAGACUCUGAUUUUAUCCAAAGACUGUAUAUAAUAUCAAUAACACCUUUGACAGAUAGCUUGCAAAUCUAAGGCUGCUGAUAACUAUUACAGAAAUGAAGGAAAACAAAGUAAGAUUCUGACACAAGGAAGGAACUCACAUUUCCCAUGAAACCAGAGUAGCACCAUUAUGGUUACAGGUUCAAAAGAAGAGAACAGACUUUAUUUUUUGAUGGCUAAAUUAGUUUCUGUUUUAAACCUGUUCUAGAUAUACUCUUUUUCACUACAGCUGCCAGCUUUCAUUAUUACUUUCCAAUUGGUCAUCAAUCCUGCCGCUCCUUUUACACAUCCUUGCAAAUUUUCAGACAAUUCAAUAGGAAUUCACAAAGCAGCACAGCAGCUUGAAGGACAGAAGAAUACCACCUCCAGGCAUCUUUACUCACAAAUCUCUUCACAAUAAGAUAUUUAUGGAGCUUUAUUCUUUGGAAUCAUUCACUAUUUAUUACAUAUGUUUUGGAGUAUAUUACUAUUGAGCAUCAGGCUAUUUAGUUUUAAUUUUGAGUAACUCUCUUGAAGAAAAUAGCUGAUGUGAAUUGCUGAUGGCUGAUAUAUAAUUAAAAUCUAAUUUUAUGAAGUUUAAGUGCAAACUGCUUCUAAAAUGCACUUUUUCCCCUAUUUAUGGCAUGACAUUUUCAGAGAAGUACUACAACAGAUUUUGUAACAGAGAUUAAUAUUUUUCUCCAUUAUGAUUCUUUUCUCAUAUUCAAAGAACCAAACCGAUGCAAACUCUGCAUAUCUCACUCACACACUGUGAAAUCCCAGUGUGCUCUGAGCAAGUAUGUCAGAAUCACACCCUCACAGAUCAUGAAUAGCAUCCCUGCAGAGUACUGCUUUUAAAGAAACAAAAUAUUUGGGCAAGAUACCAAGGGUAACAGAAUAUCACACAAGCAAGUCUGAAAAGUAACCAGGGGUUAUGCAUCUACUGGAAUGUGGUGCUCAAAAAUCAUUGAGCUAGCUGUGCUUAGAGAUAGAGAACUUUUUUUUCUUUUUCCUGUACUAACUCAGGCAGACACUUAUUUCUCAUCUCUUUUUAAAAAACCCUUUCAUUAUCCUGUUGUUCUCUUCACCAAAGCAGAUUGAAUUUUGUUGAGGCAACAAACCGAAAUUCCAGAUCAUGGAAAGUCUCUGCUUAACAGUACUAUUAGUAAAAGUGUAGCUGAUACACUUAGUGUUUGGGUACUCCAAAAGGCCCAGGAAGGAGCUGGACUGGUGAGAGCCCUAUUAAACCCUCCCCUGCUGCCAUCUGGUGCCAGGAGCAAGUAAAUUACCGUAACUGUCCAAGAGUACUGCUUACUGCUCUGAGCCUGUGAGGCUGAGCAGCUACAUCAGCAGAUGUACUAGCAUCUCAUCUCACUCUGCCUUGACCUUGCUUCCUUCAUUACUAGGUGUUUAAAAUGAGACUCUGAGGAAAAAUGAAAAUAUGAGGUGCAAUUAUUAUGUGCUUGGUAAACAGUAUGAUGGAGGAGACUCAAACUUUCCCUUCCAAAGCAGCACAACCAAAUAUCCAUCUCCAGUGACUUGUAUGCAUGCAGCAUGGGCAACAAACAGAAGCUAGAAGUCCAUGAACAUCUGCACAGUUAUGACCUCACUGGAAUCAUAGAGACCUGUGAAGAUAACUCACAUGCCUGGAGUACAGUAAUGGAUUGAUGAAAACUCUAAAGUUGAGGAAGAAGGGUUUUGCUCUACACAAAAGAGCAGUUCAAUUGCAUUUGGUGUUGUCUUGUAACAGGUGAUGGGCCAACUGGGAGCUAUGGGCACGAAUCAGAGGACAGAGAAGCAUGGUGGCAUCAUUUGGAGUAUCUUCUACUGAUCAUCUGAUGCAUAAGAGAAAAUAGAUGAAGCAUUUUUCAGACCACUAGAAGUCAUGUGAUUUUUGCAAUGGAUUGAAGAAAAUUUUUGCCAUGAGUGAUUAAUGUCAGCUGUGGGAAUUACUUGUUGCAAAUAAAGAAGCAUUGGUCAGGGGUCUGAUGGCCAAUGGUAGCACUGGCAGCCUACUAUGAGACUGUAAGGUGGUGAAGUUUAAGGUCCUGAGAGAAGGAACCGAGACAAGUACCAGAUGAGAAAGUUCUGAAAGCAUCCAAAAAUGUAGCACUGCUGUUGGAUAGGGUUGCCUUGCCCACUGGAAAUGCUGCAAACCACCAGUCAUUAUGAGACUUGUUUCCAGUUUUUUGCAACCUCACUACAUUUUAGAUGUUGCAGAUUUUCCACGCCAAGGAUCUGUCCUGGGAUAAGUUAUCAAUAUGGCUAAUAUCUUUUGGAAAAUUUUAGCAAAAAUAUUCAUAUUUUUUUAAGAUGGGAACAUUCUUUUUUGCUCAAAAUAAAUUAUUCUAGCAACCGUUCUUUUGAGAAGUUCCAAUA